UACAGAGGGUGCAAGCGUUAAUCGGAAUUACUGGGCGUAAAGCGUGCGUAGACGGUUAUGUAAGUCGGGUGUGAAAGCCCCGGGCUCAACCUGGGAAUUGCAUUCGAGACUGCAUAGCUAGGGUGCGGAAGAGGGAAGCGGAAUUUCCGGUGUAGCGGUGAAAUGCGUAGAUAUCGGAAGGAACACCAGUGGCGAAAGCGGCUCACUGGCCCGGUACUGACGCUCAGGUGCGAAAGCGUGGGGAGCAAACAGG
rnacentral:rRNA from 1 species